GUGGAUAAAAGCUAGAGGAAUGUGGCAUCUUCGGGUGUGUUAUAGCCUCUGGUUGUAUACAUUGGUUGGGACUGAGGAACUCAGCACGCCGCAAGGCCGGGUUUUUAACCACGUUCGUGCUUAGGAUGCUGGCAUAAUGGCUUUAAUCGA
rnacentral:rRNA from 1 species